rnacentral:rRNA from 1 species
GAUGAACGCUGGCGGCGUGCCUAAUACAUGCAAGUCGAACGAUGAACCCGGAGCUUGCUCCGGCGGAUUAGUGGCGAACGGGUGAGUAACACGUGAGUAACCUGCCCUUGACUCCGGGAUAACUGCUAGAAAUGGUAGCUAAUACCGGAUACGACCCUCGGUGGCAUCACCAGGGGGUGGAAAGAAUUUCGGUCAAGGAUGGACUCGCGGCCUAUCAGCUAGUUGGUGAGGUAACGGCUCACCAAGGCGACGACGGGUAGCCGGCCUGAGAGGGUGACCGGCCACACUGGGACUGAGACACGGCCCAGACUCCUACGGGAGGCAGCAGUGGGGAAUAUUGCACAAUGGGCGCAAGCCUGAUGCAGCAACGCCGCGUGAGGGAUGACGGCCUUCGGGUUGUAAACCUCUUUUAGCAGGGAAGAAGCGAAAGUGACGGUACCUGCAGAAAAAGCACCGGCUAACUACGUGCCAGCCGCCGCAGUAA